rnacentral:rRNA from 1 species
AAACGACUCUCGGCAACGGAUAUCCCGGCUCUCGCAUCGAUGAAGAACGUAGCGAAAUGCGAUACUUGGUGUGAAUUGCAGAAUCCCGUGAACCAUCGAGUCUUUGAACGCAAGUUGCGCCCGAUGCCAUUAGGCUGAGGGCACGUCUGCCUGGGUGUCACGU